rnacentral:rRNA from 1 species
CCUACGGGCGGCAGCAGUAGGGAAUAUUGCUCAAUGGGGGAAACCCUGAAGCAGCAACGCCGCGUGGAGGAUGAAGGUUUUCGGAUUGUAAACUCCUUUUGUUAGAGAAGAUAAUGACGGUAUCUAACGAAUAAGCACCGGCUAACUCCGUGCCAGCAGCCGCGGUACUACGGAGGGUGCAAGGGUUACUCGGAAUCACUGGGCGUAAAGAGCGCGGAGGCGGGAUAGCAAGUCAGAUGUGAAAUCCGAUGGCUUAACCAUAGAACUGCCGUUGAAACUGUUAUUCUAGAGUAUGGGGGAGGUAGGUGGAAUGCUUGGUGUAGGGGUAAAAUCCGUAGAGAUCAAGAGGAAUACUCAUUGCGAAGGCGACCUGCUAGAACAUAACUGACGCUGAUGCGCGAAAGCGUGGGGAGCAAACAGGAUUAGAUACCCGAGUAGUC